rnacentral:lncRNA from 1 species
CCAAAGCGCCGCAAGCGGUCAGUUCCCGGGCCGGCUGCCAGCCACAGGCCCAAGUAAACGCUGAAUGAAGGGCAGAUGGAGGAACCUGUCCCGGUCCGGCGAGAGCGCCGCGGGCGCCUUUCCGCUUACCGCGGGCCUGCCCAGCCUCCCGUCCAGCCCGGGCCCGGGUCCCGCCGAGGCAGGUGUGCGCGGCGGACUCGCUCUCGGGCACUCGGCGGGACCGAGCUCCACCCCGAACGCCACCGGGCAGGCCACGCGCAGACCCGAGCCCGGGGCCCCCGCCUCUGGCUGCCGGCCCGCGCUCGGCCCCGGUCCCGCCUCCCGGAGGUUUUCGCUUUCGUUUUCCUGCCGAUGUCGUUGAGGAAAAUGAAAGUGGUUGUGUCCAGGACUGGCGCAGCUGCCGUUCCCGGCGAGGGGCGCAGAAUGCGGCGGCGGCCAGCCUGGAGCGCGGGUCCCGGGGCGCCCGCGCAGGGCGAGGUGGCAGCACACCCUGGCCCCCCAGGCAGUCCUGAGGAUGGCCAGCAGAGAAACAAGAAAAUGGACUCCCUGGCUGCUGGAGAGUUGAAUGCCAGCCGCCAGCCAUGGGUACCAGAGUUUAUAGCCCAUUGGAGGAAAACACAUCAAGAUCACCUCUGCAGCCUGUACAGCUGGGCCUUUGGACUCCUGGAUACUAGAGAGACCUGGGCGCUGAGGAAGGGUCCCGAGCCAGUACCAGGAAAGGACAGACUCCUGCUUGCAGCAUUCCCAGCAGAGAUAUCGCCUGUGGACACCACGUCUGUGUCUGCAUAUGGCAGAGCUCCCACAUAUAUGCACAAGGGAGUGAAAAAAUGUGUUUGCACCCCAGUCUCUAAAAAUUCAAUAGCCUGGUUACUUCUGGGUGGUAUAUUGCAGGUGACUUUAAUACAUGUUAUUUGCUCAUCUGUACUUCUUACUCUUUGUACAAUUAAACCAUGUUCCUUUUACUUAUGUACAUUUUUAAUAAAAGAAAGUUG